rnacentral:rRNA from 1 species
UGGCUCAGGAUGAACGCUAGCGAAAUGCCUAACACAUGCAAGUCGAACGGAUCUUGCGUCGUAGCAAUACGUAGUAAGAUUAGUGGCAAACGAGCGAGUAACGCGUGCUUAACUUGCCCCGAAGAUGGGUAUAACUGCAGAGAUGUAGCUAAUUCCCAAUAUGCUCACGAUGGUGAAAUUCCAAUGUGAGGAAAGAUUUAUCGCUUCGGGAGAGUGGUGCGUCCUAUCAGGUAGUUGGUAAGGUAACGGCUUACCAAGCCUAUGACGGGUAACCGGUCUGAGAUGAUGUCCGGUCGCGAUGGGACUGAGAUACGGCCCAUACUCCUACGGGAGGCAGCAGUGGGGAAUCUUGCACAAUGGACGAAAGUCUGAUGCAGCAAUUUCGCGUGAAGGAUGAAGCAUUACGGUGUGUAAACUUCUUUUUUGGCAGAAGACGAAUGACGGUAUGUCAAGAAUAAGAGACGGCUAACUACGUGCCAGCAGCCGCGGUAAUACGUAGGUCUCAAGCGUUGUCCGGAUUUACUGGGCGUAAAGUGUCCGUAGUCUGAAUUGUAAGUCUGUUUUCAAAUCCUACGACUCAAUCGUAGAAAGGGAGUGGAUACUGCAAUUCUGGAAGUAUCUGGGGGUUAGUGGAAUUUCCGGUGGAGCGGUGAAAUGCGUUGAUAUCGGAAGGAACGCCGAAAGCGAAAGCAGCUAACUACAGAAUACUUGACGAUGAGGGACGACAGUUCGGGUAGCAAACAGGAUUAGAUACCCU